UCGAACGGUAACAGGUCUUCGGAUGCUGACGAGUGGCGAACGGGUGAGUAAUGCAUCGGAACGUGCCUAGUAGUGGGGGAUAACUACUCGAAAGAGUAGCUAAUACCGCAUGAGAUCUACGGAUGAAAGCAGGGGACCUUCGGGCCUUGUGCUACUAGAGCGGCUGAUGGCAGAUUAGGUAGUUGGUGGGGUAAAGGCUUACCAAGCCUGCGAUCUGUAGCUGGUCUGAGAGGGCGACCAGCCACACUGGGACUGAGACACGGCCCAGACUCCUACGGGAGGCAGCAGUGGGGAAUUUUGGACAAUGGGCGAAAGCCUGAUCCAGCAAUGCCGCGUGCAGGAUGAAGGCCCUCGGGUUGUAAACUGCUUUUGUACGGAACGAAAAGCCUGGGGCUAAUAUCCCCGGGUCAUGACGGUACCGUAAGAAUAAGCACCGGCUAACUACGUGCCAGCAGCCGCGGUAAUACGUAGGGUGCAAGCGUUAAUCGGAAUUACUGGGCGUAAAGCGUGCGCAGGCGGUUUUGUAAGACAGUGGUGAAAUCCCCGGGCUCAACCUGGGAACUGCCAUUGUGACUGCAAGGCUAGAGUGCGGCAGAGGGGGAUGGAAUCCCGCGUGUAGCAGUGAAAUGCGUAGAUAUGCGGAGGACACCGAUGGCGAAGGCAAUCCCCUGGGCCUGCACUGACGCUCAUGCAC
rnacentral:rRNA from 1 species